rnacentral:misc_RNA from 1 species
UUAGAGUGCAAGAUAACACAAAGUUGUAAGCAGCAACUCCAUAUUGCAUCCUCCAAUUCCUUUAGGACAGAGCGUUUUUUAACUGUGAUUGGCAUUGAAACAAUGAAAAUCAACCAAAUAUAAGCAUCAAUGUGAAUUAUAUUUAUUAUAUACUCAACACAUUAUAAGAUGAUAAUAGAGAAAAAACUGCUUGAUUGUUUUAGAUAUCUUUUUGAGCUUUUCAUCGUGUCUCAUGGCCGUCAAUGUUUUCAUACUAUUUAUGAUUCCAAACGGUAACUAAUGUGAUGCAAUUUGGAGCAAAAGAAAAUUUUUAGAGAGAAAUGGCUGCCUGAACUUGAAGCAGGAAUUUUGAAUGCUCAGAAGUGCUCGGAAGAUUGCAAAUAUGUGAGACUUUUGCUUGAUGAGAGGUGGGAGCAACCAGCAUCUGCUGUUGUUGACUGGGUCGCUGUUGAUGGGUAAAAUGUUGUUGCUUAGCAUAAUCAUGUC